UCUCUUAUUAUUAUUAUUAUUUUGUUAAUACCCUCUCACACAAUGCCCCCUUUUCCCAUCGCAAUCUUCUUCUUCUCCUUCACAGACCAGCAGUCAUCGCCUCUGUCUUUCUCUUCUCUCCUUCGUCCAGUCGUCGGUUGUCUUUGUCUUCAACCGAACGCCAGCAGCAAUCCCUUCGUCACAUCUCCGCCUACCCAAGCCGCCACGUCUUCAUUCGUCAAGGUGAGUCGAUCCCUUAUCGUUUCAUUCGCGCAUCUCCCUUCAACCUUCACCGCUCGUUGAAGCCCCGUCGUUUGUGCCGUCAUCUCUUCUUCCCCAUGUGUCGUCCGAAGGAGCCCAGCCACCACUGUCGCACUUGUCUAAGCUGCGCACCAGACCCGAGCCGACCCGAGCUAUCUCCUCUUUCUAGCCAAGCCACACUUGUUUUUCCCUUGCUCACUGUCGUCUGACUCACUUAGUGUUCUGCCACUUUUGCCUCAUUGUAAGUUUUGAGGUGCUUUAGAGAGGUGAUGCUUGAAUUCUCGGAUUAUAUAGCAGGUUUGGUUGGAGUUCGAUUCUUCAUUUUGCUUGGGUGGAUUCGUUGGACUUCGAUUUAAGCAAGGAUUUUUAGCUAUCCCAAGGUAAAGGUAACAUGCGAGGUAGACUAGCGAGGGGUAAGAAGGAUUCAUGAAUGUCAUAUGAGGACAUCUUUUUCUUUUUGCUUUCGCUAAACGUCUUUAAUUUUAGUUGUUUUUAAGGAUUGAAAAUCAGUCAUGUUUAGGAUA